rnacentral:misc_RNA from 1 species
AGGACACACAAGCACACACAGCGACGCACAUCUCCAAAACAAAAAUACACGAUAAAAAGAAGGAGGGCGCGCCGGGGGGUCUCUUUGCGCGUACCUCCUCGACUCCCCUCAACAAGCUGGCCUUGACACAGCCGCCUGCCGCUGCUACCGCCUCUCUUUGUUCCCGGCCGUUCCCUCUUUCCUUUGCCUUCGUGCCUGCGAAGCAUCGGCCCUUGGUUCUUUCCCUCCACCCCUUCCGUGGCCCGCUCUCCCCAGCACUAAAGAGUCCGCUGCGAUGUCGUUCUCGACGGAAAGAUCGCCAGAAGAGGGGGCCGUGCCGAAUGCGCAAGAGUGGGCGGCACUCGCGGAGUACGAGCGGCUAGAGGCCGUGUUCCACCUGCUUAAGCGCAUCUCUGGGACGUGUCUGCGCCACGGCCACCUCCGCGUAAUGGAAAGAGAGGAGUUAAUGUGCUUCGGUGCUCAUGCAGAGCCCAUCAGCACCACGCGCCGACUGCUCCUUUACGGGCGCGUGCCGUAUUGCCACAGGGAGGCGCUGUUGGCGUUCGUGCGGCAGGUGCGCCUGCAUUCGGUGCGUGACCUCGACACUGCUGUCACGGUGGGAUUGCAGGCAGGCGACCUUGUCCCGCACCUGCUGCUGGAGCCUCUCACGCCGUCUCUCCACACCAACGCGUACGCGCUUUGGCACCGCGUCUAUUGCGCCAUGCGAUGCGGCAUCUUCCGCCACAUGGAGGUGCGGCAGCAAAAGAUGAAGCAUCGCCUACGCCAGCUGAUACGCGAGUCGGCGGUGACGUCGUCGACCAGCGAAGCAGCAAACAGGAAGGAAGCGGGUACGCGGGUGGACACGGUGGCCGCGUCGCCGGACAAGUUGAGCACCUCAGGGCGCGCAAACACGCUGCGCUUCUACGCGCACGAGUUCGCCCACCUCGUUGGCAAGAAUGCCGGCGCGCCGAAAGAUCAAGGCGGCGCGGACGGCUCUCGUGAGCCACUAGCGCUGGAGGACUUCGUGGCCACCGCGAAGGAGACGCGGGUCUCGCUGGCCUGCAUUGCCGCCACUGUCCCUUCCGUCUUCGUCGUGUGGUCGUGCCGCUACCCCGAAUGCGUGGACUGGCUGCGGCGGCAUCUGUUUAACGACUCCCACCUGCAAGAGGUGCUGGACAAAACCGGACUCUCAGGGCGGUACGCGGUCCUCCUGGACAAAGACCCUUGGCUGUCGUUUGCAGCCGAGCAGGGCGAGGUGCUGCCGCGUCUCCCGGCGAAGGAAACUUUUCGCAUCGAGCUGCUGAAGUCGCUUCCGAAGCGGGCGCAAAUCGUUCUGCUGAACGUGGACGAGGAUGUCGCCGAGGCUCGCACGGCGUACGAGCACCUGAAAGGAGGGCUUCAUGGUUGGCAGAGCCCCGAAGUCGAUCUGCUGUCGCUAUGGUGUGGACAUCAGGGCCUUCAAUCAGAGGUGGCGACUCUCUUCCGCAUCGAAACGCUCCCCUUCAUCGUCGGCGCGCGCCCGGGAGGCCGCAGCAGAUCGUCGAAAGCGUCUUCUCGAGCGAAGCUGUUCAUGAAUAACAGUAGACGUCCAGUGAUUGUCCGUUCCUCACGCGAUACACUUGAGGUGGCGAAGGAUAUGUACGGCAUCGCCGACACACCGAAGAUGCGCCGCAGGCGAGGCGAGCGCGGCGCACCAACGCUGGCACUGUCUGAGAACGACAACACAUGGCAUAACCUCACUGCCUCAGAGCGCGCCCACAUUGUCGACCGGCUGAGCAAGCACAUCGUGCAACGCCGCCUUCCGUUGUGCUUCACCGCCUGUGUUGGACGGGAGUACGUGAUACGCAACCCUUACACCAGUGAUCCGUGGAAGGCUGUGGAGUGUGUCGCCAGCUCGUACGUGAGACUCGACGGCGAGUACGUCACCGGGCAAGACUUGAUGCCGGUUGCCACGGAGCUGCGUCACAUGCAUCAGCUAGACGGUUUUCAGUUCAACGUCAGUAUCAUAGAGCCCUCGGCACCGCUUGUGUCGUCGUUGAAUUUGGUGACGCCGCAGAUGCGAGUGGAAGGUAAGACGCACGUUGCCACGUGCGCACACUGCGAGCUGGCCAUGAACGUCGACGUCAGCGCACAUUUAAGAUGCUUGCAUUGCGCCUCGAGUGAUAAGAGUGCCAUCCUGUGUGAGGUGUGCGCCUUCACAGCCCUGCACCAUCCACCUCACCACAUUCUUCUGCGGAUUCCAGCUGGCGUCUGGGCCCCGUCGUUGCCGUUGCUGUGGGGCCCUUCCAACGUCGCUCCGCUUGCUGUGCUUGCGGAACGAUUCAAACCAAACCCCUCCAGGUACCACUACGGCAUCUACUGCAAUCGGUGCCGCAGCAUGAUCCGCGGCACCCGAUGGAAGUGCGCGCGCUGCUACCAGUAUGACCUCUGUGACACAUGCGCCCGCAUCUACAGCAAGCGAGCAGCGUCCACGAAGUCCAAAUCGGAUAUCAUUGCCCGCGGAGACGCACCGCUGCCUGUGAUGCCCUCCUCGUCACCAUCGCCGCUGCGGCCCACGCCGCACGUGGCACCUUUGUGUAGCGAGGACGCGACGCACCCAAUGCUGUUCAUCCCCAAUAUGCAGGGGUGUAGCGCCAACAGCUUUCUGAAGCCGCCGUGCACGGCGAACUUGGGCGAGUGGUUGCGUACACUCUGAUGCAGUGACUUGCACGCAGAAUGGCACAAGCUCCCCUCCCCAUCCCCCUCUGCUCAUGGUAUCGGCUCUUGUAGUUUCUUAGAUGGGGGCUACGCUGGCCUUGCUUUUUUCUUUCCUCUCUUCGAUGCAGAUGUGCACCUGGCGGAAGCUCGCACCGAGCGCGCGUGCCGUGCCGAUGUUCAUUAUGAUGUCUCUCUGCCUUUUUUUGCACCUACCCGACACCAAUGUAUCAAGCCCUCCCUCUACGCCCCUCUCACGUGCGUGUGUAUGCGUGUGUGUGUGUGAGACUGCGUAUGAACGUCACCACCUCCUCCUCCUUUUCUCCCGACGUACUCUCGUGUUAGGACCAUCGCGCCAUUGUUGCGGCCCCUGCCUCUUUGGUCCCUCACCGCCACUCUCUAUCAUCCCUCCCCACUUCCAUUCCUUCCUCACCCCGCUGACCCACACACGCAACUCUGCAG